UACGAGGGGGGCGAGCGUUGUUCGGAAUUAUUGGGCGUAAAGCGUGCGCAGGCGGCUUUGCAAGACAGAUGUGAAAUCCCCGGGCUUAACCUGGGAACUGCGUCCGAGACUGGAAGGCUCGAAUCCGGGAGAGGGAUGUGGAAUUCCAGGUGUAGCGGUGAAAUGCGUAGAUAUCUGGAGGAACAUCGGUGGCGAAGGCGGCAUCCUGGACCGGUAUUGACGCUGAGGCGCGAAAGCCAGGGGAGCAAACGGG
rnacentral:rRNA from 1 species